rnacentral:rRNA from 1 species
UACGGAAGGCAGCAGUGGGGAAUAUUGCACAAUGGGCGAAAGCCUGAUGCAGCUAUGCCGCGUGUAUGAAGAAGGCCUUAGGGUUGUAAAGUACUUUCAUCGGGGAGGAAAAACAAAACUAAUAAUUUUAUUUCUUGACGUUACCCGAAAAAGAAGCACCGGCUAACUCCGUGCCAGCAGCCGCGGUAAUACGGGGGUGCUAGCGUUAAUCAGAAUUACUGGGCGUAAAGAGCACGUAGGUGGUUUUUUUAAAGUCAGAUGUGAAAUCCCUGGGCUUAACCUAGGAACUGCAUUUUGAAACUGAAAUACUAGAGUAUCGUAGAGGGAGGUAGAAUUCUAGGUGUAGCGGUGAAAUGCGUAGAUAUCUGGAGGAAUACCUGUGGCGAAAGCGGCCUCCUAAACGAAUACUGACACUGAGGUGCGAAAGCGUGGGGAGCAAACAGGGAUUAGAUACC